UACGGAGGGUGCAAGCGUUGUUCGGAAUUAUUGGGCGUAAAGAGCUCGUAGGCGGUCUGUCACGUCUGCUGUGAAAACUCGGGGCUUAACCCCGGGCCUGCAGUGGGUACGGGCAGACUAGAGUGCGGUAGGGGAGACUGGAAUUCCUGGUGUAGCGGUGAAAUGCGCAGAUAUCAGGAGGAACACCGGUGGCGAAGGCGGGUCUCUGGGCCGUAACUGACGCUGAGGAGCGAAAGCGUGGGGAGCGAACAGG
rnacentral:rRNA from 1 species